rnacentral:rRNA from 1 species
UUUGAAUGCUCUAAAGUCGUAAAAGGAGAUUACGCUCUAACCUGUUGGUUUGAGUCACGUGCCGACGACUUAGCUUUUGCCGUAACCAACGUCUAUGUCCCAUGCGACUCUUUCUCUAAACCCAUCUUCUUGCAAUACUUGGUUGAUUUGAUGCCUGAUAUCUCCUGCCCUUGGGCAAUCAUCGGCGACUUCAAUAUUACCCUCCGGCCAUCGGAUAAAUCUUCAAGCCAUUUCAACAUGACCGAGGCCAAUCUCUUCUCCUCUACCAUUAACACUCUUCAACUUCAAGACCUCCCUCUACUUGAUAGAUGUUUUACCUGGUCGAACCAGCAACAAGUGCCAAUCCUAGUGCGGUUAGAUCGUGCUCUCGCCAACGUUGUGUUGGCUACAAAAUUCCCCGACACCUCCCUCUCAUCAGUCACCAGAACCACCUCCGACCACGUCCCCAUCCGUCUAGCAGCCGCUACAAGUAUCCCCCGAUCUACGAUUUUCUGUCUAGAUCGCGCUCUGCUUAAAAACACACAAUUCAAGGACAAGGUUAUUGCAAACUGGGCGAGCGUGGGCCCUCGCCAUGCUCACCUUGGCUCCGCCGGAGUUCUCUCCUUAAAGCUUAAGUGCACCAGAAAUAUGGCUAAGCAGUGGGUGGCCUCAUGUCGAUCUCCUAAGACCCUGGCUCUAAACUGUCACGCUACCAUAAACCUCCUGGACAAACUUGAAGAGGCUAGACCCCUCUCCCCGCUUGAAACUCACCUUCGAACAAUCGUCAAAACCACUCUGCACCGUCACAAUGCCGCCAUUGCCGCCUACUGGAGGCAACGUGCGAAAAUCAAGGACUGUGUUUUUGGUGAUGAGAACUCGGCCUAUUUGCAUAUGUGCGCUUCGGUUCGCCACCGGAAGAACCAAAUCUAA